rnacentral:ncRNA from 1 species
UCGGUUCCGGUUCACGCUCGAAGACCUUUUGGGUCAGGGCUCGGGCGACCCGGCGACC